UUAAGUGACUAUUGCGGUGGGAAUUCCACCUCUUCCCAUUCCGAACAGAGAAGUUAAGCCCACCAGCGCCAAUGGUACUGCAAUUGCGGGAGAGUAGGUCGUCGCCACUU
rnacentral:rRNA from 1 species